rnacentral:lncRNA from 1 species
CUCAGGAGUAUAAUUCCCCACAUUUUUGCUCAUAAUAAAACCUUAAAUUGUCCUUUACUUUUUUUUUAAACAGUGAAUUUAGUAGAAAUCCACAUAUUGUGAGUUUUGUUGGAAAUCAGGUAACUAUAAGAAGAGCGGAUGGCUCCCUGGUACAUAUCAGCAUAUCACCAUAUCCUGCUAUUCUCCAUGACUAUGUAGGCAGUUCAAAAUGGGAAGAUGCUGUAAGGCUUUGUCGCUUUGUUAAGGAGCAAACUAUGUGGGCUUGCCUAGCUGCGAUGGCAGUUGCUAAUCGAGAUAUGACUACUGCAGAAAUAGCUUAUGCAGCCAUUGGUGAAAUGGAUAAAGUUCAGUACAUCAAUUCUAUGAAAGAUCUUCCAUCCAAAGAAUCAAAAAUGGCCCACAUACUACUGUUUAGUGGGAAUAUACAGGAGGCUGAAAUAGUACUUCUUCAGGCUGGCCUUGUUUAUCAAGCAAUCCAGAUCAAUAUUAAUCUGUAUAACUGGGAAAGGUUUUGUCUCCCAGUGAACAUGUGGUGCUUAUUGACGUACUUUCCCAGGUGCAAAUUAUCCUUCUUGAUCUGUUUCACUCUAUACUCAAAAAUACUGUUGUUUCAUUCAUUUAUAAGACUAUAUUAUAUAACUUUCUUAGAUUAGAAUUUAGGUACAUGUUCCUCCACAUCCAGAGGCUAAGAAUGGCUCCAUACGCAGCAUGUCUCAGUAAUGUAACUUGGACAUUAUCACAGAACUGUAA